rnacentral:rRNA from 1 species
ACGGGUGAGUAAUACAUCGGAACGUGCCCAAGAGUGGGGGAUAACGGAGCGAAAGCUUUGCUAAUACCGCAUACGAUCUACGGAUGAAAGCAGGGGACCGCAAGGCCUUGCGCUCAUGGAGCGGCCGAUGGCAGAUUAGGUAGUUAGUGGGAUAAAAGCUUACCAAGCCGACGAUCUGUAGCUGGUCUGAGAGGACGACCAGCCACACUGGGACUGAGACACGGCCCAGACUCCUACGGGAGGCAGCAGUGGGGAAUUUUGGACAAUGGGCGCAAGCCUGAUCCAGCCAUGCCGCGUGCAGGAUGAAGGCCUUCGGGUUGUAAACUGCUUUUGUACGGAACGAAAAGCCUCUUUCUAAUAAAGAGGGGUCAUGACGGUACCGUAAGAAUAAGCACCGGCUAACUACGUGCCAGCAGCCGCGGUAAUACGUAGGGUGCGAGCGUUAAUCGGAAUUACUGGGCGUAAAGCGUGCGCAGGCGGUAAUGUAAGACAGAUGUGAAAUCCCCGGGCUCAACCUGGGAACUGCAUUUGUGACUGCAUUGCUGGAGUGCGGCAGAGGGGGAUGGAAUUCCGCGU